rnacentral:rRNA from 1 species
AGCGAACGUUAGCGGCGCGCCUAACACAUGCAAGUCGCACGAGAAAGGGCUUCGGCCCCGGUAAAGUGGCGCACGGGUGAGUAACACGUGGGUAAUCUUCCCUCGAGCGGGGGAGUAACAUUCCGAAGGAGUGCUAAUACCGCAUAAGACCACGGAGUCGAAAGACACUGAGGUAAAAGCUGGCCUCUUCACGAAAGCUAGCACUUGAGGAUGAGCCCGCGGCCCAUCAGGCAGUUGGCAGGGUAAUGGCCUACCAAACCUAAGACGGGUAGCUGGUCUGAGAGGAUGAUCAGCCACACUGGAACUGAGACACGGUCCAGACUCCUACGGGAGGCAGCAGUGGGGAAUCUUGCGCAAUGGACGAAAGUCUGACGCAGCGACGCCGCGUGGGUGAUGAAGGCC